GGUGGAGGAGAUCUUUUCACAAAAGACUAUAGGUUGCAUCUGUUCACAAAUUUGCAUACGUAAUUGGCCCCUUAUAAUAGCUUGUAAGAUUGCGCAGAUGUCAUACACGGCUAACAGUGUUCGCGUGUCAAAAAUUAGCUUGGCAAAGCUCACGCCUAAGUGCAGCUUCGUAAGAACCAAUUCCAAAUAGAGAAUGAAAUUCCCAGUGCUGAUGGUCCUACUGAUCGUUCUAGCCUGUAUAACUGAAACUGAAACUGUGCAAAGUAUCAUGCACCUUGCGAACGAAGAAAAGAAUGUUGUAACAAUCUUAAGUGCAAUUACGUAUUCACCCCUGCAAGAGGAAGAUGCACGCCAAAAUAAGAAUGGAUUCAUGGAUUUCUAGCAAGUAGCAGUCGUUAGUAGAGCUACAAAAAGUGCACAGGAUCCAAAGGCACUUUAAAUACAUCAACAAUUUAGACGCUUUCAAGUUAACAUGAAAUAAAGAAAAAUAACACACAGAA